GACGAACGCUGGCGGCGUGCUUAACACAUGCAAGUCGAACGGAAAGGCCCUGCUUUUGUGGGGUGCUCGAGUGGCGAACGGGUGAGUAACACGUGAGUAACCUGCCCUUGACUUUGGGAUAACUUCAGGAAACUGGGGCUAAUACCGGAUAGGAGCUCCUGCUGCAUGGUGGGGGUUGGAAAGUUUCGGCGGUUGGGGAUGGACUCGCGGCUUAUCAGCUUGUUGGUGGGGUAGUGGCUUACCAAGGCUUUGACGGGUAGCCGGCCUGAGAGGGUGACCGGCCACAUUGGGACUGAGAUACGGCCCAGACUCCUACGGGAGGCAACAGUGGGGAAUAUUGCACAAUGGGCGGAAGCCUGAUGCAGCAACGCCGCAUGCGGGAUGACGGCCUUCGGGUUGUAAACCGCUUUCGCCUGUGACGAAGCGUGAGUGACGGUAAUGGGUAAAGAAGCACCGGCUAACUACGU
rnacentral:rRNA from 1 species